rnacentral:rRNA from 1 species
AAUUAGAAUAUGUUUUAGUUUUAAGUUGGUAUGAAGUUUAUAAUUAAAGAUUUAUAAGUUUAUAAGUAAUAAAGGUUUGAAAUUAAAGGUUGAAGUUUAAACUGUAAAGGAGAAUUUUGGUUUAGGUAUAAGAAUUAAGUGAGUACCUUUUGUAUCAGGGAAUUAUAAUAUUAAAUUGUAUAAGUAAAUCUCGAAUUAAAAGGGGCUAAUACUUUAUUUUUUGGUAAUGUAGAAUAAUUACAUAAAAGAUUAAUUAGAAUGAAAUGUAAUACGAUUUUUAAGAUAUCUAGUUUUUGGGGAAUCAAUUUAAUUGAGUUGUUGGAAUUAAUUAUAGUAAUUUUUUACUUAUCGUUAUUCAGCAAAAUAUAUUGAUUGGGAUAAGCUGAUUAAGUUAGUAUAAAUUGGUAAGUUGAUUUUUGGUUUAGGAUUUAAGAUUUUUAAAGUAGUUUGUUGUAAUUAAAAAAAAUUAUUAGGGGAUUUAAGUAAUUUUACGUGAAGUUUUCGGGAACAGUAUUAACUUGAAGUAAUUGUUUAUAAUGUUAUUAUUAGUAGAGUUAAAAGUUAAAUUUAAAGAAUUAGGCAAAAAUCAAAUUUCACCUGUUUAUCAAAAACAUCUUUUUUUGGUUUAAUAUGAGAUUAGUUCUGCCCAAUGAAUUAUUAAAUGGCCGCAGUAUUUUGACUGUGCAAAGGUAGCAUAAUCAUUAGUUUAUUAAUUGUAAGCUGGAAUGAAUGAAUUGAUGAAAAUUUUACUUUUUUGGAUUUAGAUUUUGAAUUUUAUUAUUCAUUUAAAAAGAUGAAAUAUAUUUAAAAGACGAGAAGACCCUAUAGAGUUUUACAUAAGACUAUACUUAUAGAGGUCAAUAGUUGGUGUUUAGUUGGGGUAAUAUCUAUAAAAUAAUAUUUAUAGAAUUUUAUUAACUUAUUUGAAGGUAUCUAUGAACCUAGAAGGAUUAUUAGAUUAAAUUACCUUAGGGAUAACAGUGUAAUAUAAUUUUGAAGUUCUCAUUUAAAAUUAUGUUUGCAACCUCGAUGUUGAAUUAAGGAUUCUGUUUAAAGUAUCAUUUAAAUGAGAAAGUCUGUUCGACUUUUAAAUUCUUACAUGAUUUGAGUUCAGACCGGCGUGAGCCAGGUCGGUUUCUAUCUUUAAAAAAAGAAAUUUUUUAGUACGAGAGGACCAGAAAUUUUAAAUAAUUU